rnacentral:rRNA from 1 species
ACGAACGCUGGCGGCGUGCUUAACACAUGCAAGUCGAGCGGUAAGGCCCUUUCGGGGGUACACGAGCGGCGAACGGGUGGGUAACACGUGGGUGACCUGCCCUCAGCUCUGGGAUAAGCCUGGGAAACUGGGUCUAAUACCGGAUAUGACCUUCCCUCGCAUGGGGGUUGGUGGAAAGUCUUUUCGGCUGGGGAUGGGCCCGCGGCCUAUCAGCUUGUUGGUGGGGUGAUGGCCUACCAAGGCGACGACGGGUAGCCGGCCUGAGAGGGCGACCGGCCACACUGGGACUGAGACACGGCCCAGACUCCUACGGGAGGCAGCAGUGGGGAAUAUUGCGCAAUGGGCGGAAGCCUGACGCAGCGACGCCGCGUGGGGGAUGACGGCCUUCGGGUUGUAAACCUCUUUCGACCUUGACGAAGCUUUUCGGAGUGACGGUAGGGGUAGAAGAAGCACCGGCCAACUACGUGCCAGCAGCCGCGGUAAUACGUAGGGUGCGAGCGUUGUCCGGAAUUAUUGGGCGUAAAGAGCUCGUAGGCGGUCUGUCACGUCGGUCGUGAAAACUUGGGGCUUAACCCUGAGCUUGCGGUCGAUACGGGCAUGACUUGAGUUCGGCAGGGGAGACUGGAAUUCCUGGUGUAGCGGUGAAAUGCGCAGAUAUCAGGAGGAACACCGGUGGCGAAGGCGGGUCUCUGGGCCGAUACUGACGCUGAGGAGCGAAAGCGUGGGGAGCGAACAGGAUUAGAUACCCUGGUAGUCCACGCCGUAAACGGUGGGCACUAGGUGUGGGGGCCAUUCCACGGUCUCUGUGCCGCAGCUAACGCAUUAAGUGCCCCGCCUGGGGAGCACGGCCGCAAGGCUAAAACUCAAAUGAAUUGACGGGG